rnacentral:rRNA from 1 species
GACGAACGCUGGCGGCAGGCUUAAUACAUGCAAGUCGAGGGGCAGCGGGGGUAGCAAUACCUGCCGGCGACCGGCAAACGGGUGCGGAACACGUACAGAACCUUCCUUUAAGCGGGAAUAGCCCGGAGAAAUCCGGAUUAAUACCCCAUAGUAAUGUUAAGUGGCAUCACUUGAUAUUUAAAGAUUUAUCACUUAAAGAUGGCUGUGCGGCUGGAUUAGGUAGUUGGUUGGGUAACGCCCACCAAGCCAACGAUCAGUAACUGGUGUGAGAGCACGACCAGUCACACGGGCACUGAGACA